UCGAGAAUCUUCGGCAAUGGGCGCAAGCCUGACCGAGCGACGCCGCGUGGAGGAUGAAGGCCUUCGGGUUGUAAACUCCUGUCGAGGGGAAAGAAGGUCCGCAAGGACUUGACUGAUCCCUGGAGGAAGCACGGGCUAAGUUCGUGCCAGCAGCCGCGGUAAGACGAACCGUGCGAACGUUAUUCGGAAUCACUGGGCUUAAAGCGCGUGUAGGCUGGAUGGUACGUCCGACGCUGAAAUCCCCCGGCUCAACCGGGGAACGGGCGGGGAUACGGCCAGCCUGGAGGGGCGUAGGGGGACCUGGAACUUCCGGUGGAGCGGUGAAAUGCGUUGAGAUCGGAAGGAACGCCCGCGGCGAAAGCGAGGUCCUGGACGCUUACUGACGCUGAGACGCGAAAGCCAGGGGAGCGAACG
rnacentral:rRNA from 1 species